GAUGAACGCUAGCGGCAGGCCUAAUACAUGCAAGUCGAACGAGAUUACGUGGCUUGCUUCUUCUAUAAGUGGCGCACGGGUGCGUAACGCGUAUGCAACCUACCUUUAUCAGGGGCCUAGCUCGCAGAAAUUCGUAUUAAGACCGCAUAAAUACACAGUAUAGCAUUAUGCAAUUUUCAAAUAUUUAUAGGAUUAAGAUGGGCAUGCGUGUUAUUAGCUCGUUGGCGGGGUAACUGCCCACCAAGGCGACGAUGACUAGGGGAUCUGAGAGGAUGACCCCCCAAAAUGGUAAUGAGACACGGACCAGACUACUACGGGAGGCAGGAGUAAGGAAUAAUGGUCAAUGGAGGGAACUCUGAACCAGCCAUGCCGCGUGCAGGAAGACAGCCCUCUGGGUCGUAAACUGCUUUUAUUCGGGAAGAAACCUUUCUACGUGUAGGAAGCUGAAGGUACCGAAGGAAUAAGGAUCGGCUAACUCCGUG
rnacentral:rRNA from 1 species